rnacentral:rRNA from 1 species
CCUACGGGAGGCAGCAGUGGGGAAUAUUGCACAAUGGGGGAAACCCUGAUGCAGCAACGCCGCGUGAGUGAUGAAGGUCUUCGGAUUGUAAAACUCUGUCUUUGGGGACGAUAAUGACGGUACCCAAGGAGGAAGCCACGGCUAACUACGUGCCAGCAGCCGCGGUAAU